CUUAACACAUGCAAGUCGAACGCAACCUUCGGGUUGAGUGGCGGACGGGUGAGUAACGCGUGAGAAUCUGCCUUGGGGUCGGGGACAACCACUGGAAACGGUGGCUAAUACCGGAUAAGCCUUUGGGUAAAAGAUUUAUUGCCCCAAGAGGAGCUCGCGUCUGAUUAGCUAGUUGGUGAGGUAAGAGCUCACCAAGGCAGCGAUCAGUAGCUGGUCUGAGAGGACGAUCAGCCACACUGGGACUGAGACACGGCCCAGACUCCUACGGGAGGCAGCAGUGGGGAAUUUUCCGCAAUGGGCGAAAGCCUGACGGAGCAAGACCGCGUGAGGGAGGAAGGCUCUUGGGUUGUAAACCUCUUUUCUCAGGGAAGAAGCUCUGACGGUACCUGAGGAAUCAGCCUCGGCUAACUCCGUGCCAGCAGCCGCGGUAAUACGGAGGAUGCAGGCGUUAUCCGGAUUUAUUAGGUUUAAAGGGUGUUCAGGCUGUCUGGUAAGUCAGAGGUGAAAGUCGGUUGCUUAACGAUCGAAUUGCCUUUGAAACUGUCAGACUUGAGUAUGGAUGCGGUAGGCGGAAUGUGUAGUGUAGCGGUGAAAUGCAUAGAUAUUACACAGAACACCGAUUGCGAAAGCAGCUUACCAAACCAGCACUGACGCUGAAGCACGAGAGCGUGGGUAGCGAACAGGAUUAGAUACCCUGGUAGUCCACGCAGUAAACGAUGCUCACUCGCUGUUGGCAAUAGAUCGUCAGCGGCUAAGGGAAACCGAUAAGUGAGCCACCUGGGGAGUACGAUCGCAAGAUUGAAACUCAAAGGAAUUGACGGGGGCCCGCACAAGCGGUGGAACAUGUGGUUUAAUUCGAUGAUACGCGAGGAACCUUACCUGGGCUUAAAUGUACGAUGCAUAAGUGUGAAAGCACUUUUUCCUUCGGGACUUUGUACAAGGUGCUGCAUGGUUGUCGUCAGCUCGUGCCGUGAGGUGUCGGGUUAAGUCCCAUAACGAGCGCAACCCCUAUUGUUAGUUACCGGCGCGUAAAGGCGGGGACUCUAGCGAAACUGCCGGUGUAAACCGCGAGGAAGGUGGGGAUGACGUCAAAUCAGCACGGCCCUUAUGUCCAGGGCUACACACGUGUUACAAUGGCCGGUACAGCGGGCAGCGAGGCAGCGAUGCCGAGCGAAUCUCGAAAGCCGGUCCCAGUUCGGAUUGGAGUCUGCAACCCGACUCCAUGAAGGUGGAAUCGCUAGUAAUCGCGCGUCAGCCAUGGCGCGGUGAAUACGUUCCCGGGCCUUGUACACACCGCCCGUCAAGCCAUGGAAGUCUGGGGUGCCUGAAGGCCGUAACC
rnacentral:rRNA from 1 species